CCGACAUAUACACCGAUGCUGAUUAAUCUGCAAUAAGCUAAUAUGGGUCGAUAUAUCAGUCUAGUUCUUGUUGAAAUCUGAUCCUCCCUCAUACAACAUCAACAAGUCAACUUUAUGAGAUAGAGCAGAUAACAUCUGCACUAGGGCACCUAAAAAGCCAAACUUUGAUGCAAUGAGGUUAUUGAAUCCGUCCUACACGCUCUUAAACUCCUUCCAAGCCCAACAUCUUCUCAUGAUAUCCACUUCUUUUCUGCAGCUCUGUCCUUCCCUUCACCCCCCUCUGCAUUGCCAUUCUCCAUCCAUCCACCAGAUGCCCUCAGACUUUCCCACCUGUCACCUGACUGCCCCGCCCACCUGCCCACCUGUUUCCACUUCCCCUCAUCAGCCCUGCAGUAGCCAGCCCAUUUCCUCCUGCUCCCAGCCAUAUGAAUCUGAUCUGUUCCUGCUUCUUGAUCCUGACCUGCUCACCUGUCGUGCCCCUGUGGAAUUUCUUUAACUGUCUGGACAUCAGCCAUCCUGUUGCCAACCUGUAAGCCUAACGACAGAUGAAACUUCAGCAAAACAAAUAUCACAUGAACGUCCACAGAAACCUCACAGACAGACUAGAUGUGCAUCAUGAUGCAUGUCUUGGUUUCUCUACUGUAUGCAUUUAGGUUUGCUAAGUAAACCACUUCCUCAAGCUUUCCCAUGUU